AGGAGUAAGACCUGGCCAGCACUGCUGAGGUUGUCUCUGACUCAGAGGCACCCCCACCGAGCUGCCUCUGCUGGCAGCCUUCCAGGGAGAACCCUAUAGACUCCAGGGAGAACCCUGUAGACUCUAAAGUUGUCUGUAGCUGGUGGAAGCCCAGGAGAAUCAAUCAUGCUAUAAAGCAUUUUCCAGCCCAAGAAUUCAGCAGUCAGUUGGCGAGACAAAUGAGAAGGGAAAAUUUCAGGGUACUGAGAAGCAAAGUUUAAUAUCCAAAACUGAAAAGACUCCCAGAUGAAUAAAACAAGCCAGACACCCAUCAGACACAAACUCUGGCCCAUAACCUGCAGAGUUAAGGGGAAGUACGUGGAAGCUAAACCAAACAGCCUCAAACAAGAUCUGUGAAACUUCUCUGGUAUAUGAAUAUCCAUAGACUGAGAAGAGAAACAAAACCAGAAACAACACUUGAGAAAUGGAAUUCAAGGUCACACAAAACCAUGGCGUGAGGCUGAGAUGGUGAGAAAAGCACUGGAAGAGAAGUAUUGCAAUUUUAACGCCUCACUUUCAUUAGUGCUGAUUGCUCAUCAGUAGAAAUAUCCAUGACUGCUCUUCAAAUUCUGAGAUUCUUUCAGUUUCUAUGGCCA